rnacentral:rRNA from 1 species
AGCAGCCGCGGUAAUUCCAGCUCCAAUAGCGUAUAUUAAAGUUGUUGCAGUUAAAAGCUCGUAGUUGAACUUCGGGGUUUACCCAUUGGUCAGGCUUAAUUGUCUGCACUAGUGAGAUGAAUCUCUACCUUCUGAGGAACUUUCAUGCCAUUUAUUUGGUGUGAUUGGAAAUCAGGAUUGUUACUUUGAAAAAUUAGAGUGUUUAAAGCAGGCUAACGUCUGAAUACAUUAGCAUGGAAUAAUGAAAUAGGACGGACUGAUUCUAUUUCGUUGGUUUCUAGGAUCACCGUAAUGAUUAAUAGGGAUAGUUGGGGGCAUUAGUAUUCAAUUGUCAGAGGUGAAAUUCUUGGAUUUAUUGAAGACUAACUACUGCGAAAAGCAUUCGCCAAGGAUGUUUUCAUUAAUCAAGAACGAAGUUAGGGGAUCGAAGACGAUCAGAUACCGUCGUAGUCUUAACCAUAAACUAUGCCGACU